GAUGAACGCUAGCUACAGGCUUAACACAUGCAAGUCGAGGGGUAACGAGAGGAAAGCUUGCUUUCCUUGUCGACGACCGGCGCACGGGUGAGUAACGCGUAUCCAACCUGCCCCCAACUAGGGAAUAACCUUGCGAAAGUAAGACUAAUACCCUAUAAUUUCCUCAGAUGACAUCUGACGAGGAAUAAAGAUUUAUCGGUUGUGGAUGGGGAUGCGUCUGAUUAGCUUGUUGGCGGGGUGACGGCCCACCAAGGCAACGAUCAGUAGGGGUUCUGAGAGGAAGGGCCCCCACAUUGGAACUGAGACACGGUCCAAACUCCUACGGGAGGCAGCAGUGAGGAAUAUUGGUCAAUGGGCGGAAGCCUGAACCAGCCAAGUAGCGUGCAGGAUGACGGCCCUAUGGGUUGUAAACUGCUUUUAUACAGGAAUAAAGUUAGCCACGUGUGGUUAUUUGUAGGUACUGUAUGAAUAAGGACCGGCUAAUUCCGUGCCAGCAGCCGCCGUAA
rnacentral:rRNA from 1 species